rnacentral:rRNA from 1 species
UACAGAGGGUGCAAGCGUUAAUCGGAAUUACUGGGCGUAAAGCGCGCGUAGGUGGUUCAGCAAGUUGGAUGUGAAAGCCCUGGGCUCAACCUGGGGUGGUCAGCUAAGACUGUGUGACUUGAGUAUAGGAGAGGGUAGUGGAAUUUCCGGUGUAGCGGUGAAAUGCGUAGAGAUCGGAAGGAACACCAGUGGCGAAGGCGACCACCUGGACUGAUACUGACACUGAGGUGCGAAAGCGUGGGGAGCAAACAGG